AACCAUUCCCCACAAAUACACUACUGUGUCACGAAUCUGACCGCAGACGAAUUUCUACCGGGAUCUUCCUUCUUCAAAGUUUUCGUUUUGGCGCGCCUUUAUUUUGUUUUUCCGCCAUUUCUGCGAUCCCCAUUUUCAAAAAGUGAGAAGAAAUAAAAAUAAAAAAAAACACAGCGGAGAGCAAAACCAAAUGAGAAAAUCCGUGAGUCCCAAUUCUCAUUUCAUAAAUCGAUCGCAUUCCUAAUGAGGUAUUAGCAAAACCCUAAGUCCAAAAUGUCCACCUGGCACAUGUUCUCCGACGCCGCCGGCGGCAAUUUCCGGUGGCGAAUAUCCGGUCCCGACCCUAAUACCCCACCGCCGGACGCGGCCUUCUAUUCGGACAACGAAAAUCUCAGCUCAAGCACUCGCCUGCCUUCCAUGUCCGAUCUGUUGCUUCAAGGCUGUUCAAAACUCGCGGCGGAGAGUCAGAGAAAUCACGACGCAGGUGUUGCCAUGUUUCGCAAUGGAUUCGGAAGAUCCGUUUCCGUCAAGCCGUCGUCGUUAGCCAAAGCGGCGUCGCUUCUGAACUCCGAAUCAGGCCGAAUGAAAGGUAUAGAAAGUGAGAGUAGAGGUGGUUUCGGUGAUUCCCUUUUCCAGACUGCCUCUGGGAAGAUGGUUAAUAUAUCUUCCAAAGGUCUUGUCAAGGCCAAGAGAUUGCUUGGUUUGGAAGAUGAUAAUGGUGACUGUAAUCUUCCCGGUUUCAGCAGUGCCGGGGUUAAGGAUGCUGUAUCGGUUUCAAGGUCUUCAUUGAAUCAUACGACUGGUUCAGUGCAAACUGGGUUAACGAAUGUGUCCAAUCUGAAUUCUGUGCAAGCUGAAGUGCCUAGUACAGCUCGUACACCUUCAUCAGUCAAGUUACAUACACCCGGAGGGAGAUCAACUUCUGUUUCUAGUGAUGCAUUUAAGACAGGUUCUGUGCAGAGUAGAUGUAAGAAUGAGUCUAACCAGAAUUUUAUGCAAUCCGAGAUGACUAAUUCAGUUUCUACACUUUCAUCAGUCCAGUUACAUACACCCAGUGGUAGAACUUUGUCUGUUUCAACUGAUGCACACAAGACUGGUUCAGUGCAAAGCAGAUUUAAGAAUGAGUCCAAACUAAAUUAUAUGCAAUCCGAGCCUAGUUCAGCUUGUACGCCUUCAUCAGCCAAGCUACUUGCACCUGGAGGAAGCUCUAAAUCUCUUUCCACCGGUGCACAUAAGACUGGUUCUGUGCAAAGUGGAGUUACAAAUGAGACUGAUCCGAGUUUUAUGCAAUCCCAGAAGCCUAAUUUAGCUCCCAAACCUCCAUCAAUCAAGUUCCAUACAGCUGGAGGAAGAUCUAUAUCUGUUUCCACUGAUGCACUACAACGUGCAAGGAGUCUUCUUGGUGACCCAGACUUGGGAACUCUCCUGAAUGAGGGGAACUCAGACUUGGAUCAGACAUUUCCAAAAGGUAGAGAACAUGAUAGUCACACUGCCUCUUCCCACCAGAAAAUACCUAAGACCAAAUUUUUAACGAAGAGUUUUGUAUCUCCACUGCAAUCAUCCACUAAUCAAGUGCGGACAUCAGCAGUCAAGUCAGAUAGUACAAAUUGGGGCACUAACCUGAUCAGCCAAUUUGAUGUUGUUAGCAAUGAAAAUGCCUGCAGGUCAAAUGGUGAGUUACCUUGUGGGAAAAAACCCUUCAGCAACAAACCCCGUACCCUUACUACAGUAGAAAACAAUUAUUUGGCAAAUGGCACUGGUGAAAGGAUUAAUCCUGUUGAAAGGUCACUAGCCAAGCCAUUGGUGGAUAUUUCAAAUACCAUUGGCACCACUCCUCUGAGUAAUAUACAAAUGACUGGUGUAAAGAGGAGGCUUGGAGGAAAUUCUAUUUCUCCAUUCAAGAAGCCUCGCAUUUCCAACUUCUCCACCCCAUUGCAUAAGAAUGUUCCAUGUGUUCCUAAUGGUUUGUCUACCUUUCCGUCUGACCAUUCAAGUGGCAAAAGAAGGGUUUCUACUCGAUAUCCUGUCCUGGUGACCAGAAUGUCUUUGAAGAAAUAUUUUGGAAUGCCACCAGCAGAUCAAACCAUGGUGGACUGCAUGUCAGAUCAGGUGAGAAGAGUUACAGCAAUUAAUGCAGAAAACUACAUGUUUCCUGAUGAAUCUGGCUUAAACUACGUAGGGGCAGAAGCUUUUGUCCACAUGUUGGCUUCUUCCGGAGCCUCAACACAAAAUACUUCCAGAGAGUGGGUCAUAAAUCACUACAAGUGGAUUGUCUGGAAACUGGCUUGUUAUGAGAGAUGCUAUCCAGCUAAAGCUUUAGGAAAUUUUUUGACACUGCCCAAUGUGCUUGAAGAAUUGAAGUAUAGAUAUGAAAGAGAAGUGAAUCAUGGUCACCGCUCUGCAAUUAAGAAAAUACUGGAAGGAGAUGCAUCACCUUCUUCGAUGUUGGUCUUAUGCAUUUCAGCUAUUCGCUCAAAACCUGACCCAAAUGUGGAGACUAGCUCCGGAGCUGAAAAUAGUAGUGCCACAAAAGUUGAACUUACUGAUGGGUGGUAUUCAGUGGAUGCUAUUCUGGAUGCUCUCCUAUCAAAGCAGCUUGCUGGUGGAAAAUUGUUUGUUGGACAGAAACUUCGGAUUUGGGGAGCAGGACUCUGCGGCUGGGUUGGGCCUAUUUCACCCCUCGAGGUGUCAAGAGAAGUUAUGUUAAGGCUACACAUAAAUGGCACAUAUAGAGCUCAUUGGGAUGAUCAAUUGGGAUUUUGCAACUGUGUUGGUGCUCCGUUAGCAUUUAAGUGCAUCAAGAGCGAUGGGGGUCCAGUUCCUUGGACUCUUGUAGGAGUCACAAGGAUAUUCCCUGUUUUAUACAAAGAAAGGUUAAGUAAUGGAAGAUCUGUUGUGAGGUCGGAGAGGUUGGAGACCAAAAUGAUGCAAUCAUAUAGCCAGAGGCGCUCUAAUGUUAUUGAGGGCAUUAUUUCUGAGUUCCAAAGAGGAUUAGAACAUUCGCAUACAUGUAAUGAGAGAGAUAGUGAAGGAGCAAAACUCUUGAGGAUACUAGAGACAGCUGCUGAACCAGAAGUUUUAAUGGCAGAGAUGAGUACAGAACAAUUGAAUUCUUUUACCAAAUAUCGAGCAAAAUUAGAGGCAAUCAAGCAAUCAGACAUGGAGAAAUCAAUUAUGAAAGCACUAGAAGAUGCUGGAUUAGCUGAGAGGGAAGUGAUGCCAUUAAUGAGGGUGAGGGUAGUUGGACUAACUAGAAACUUAUAUGAAGGAGAAGACAGUCCCAAAGAAGGCUUAAUAACAAUCUGGAACCCAUCAGAGAACCAGAAGUCUGAGUUGGUCGAGGGGCAAGCAUAUACUGUUUCUGACCUUAUACCAACAAAUUUGGCUGCUGAUAUUCUAUACUUGCUAGCAAGAGGAUCCAAAACGAAAUGGAAGCCUUUAUGUCAGCAGGCAGUAGACCACUUUAAGCCCUUUUUUAGUCCUCGCAAAUCAAUACUAUUGUCAGAUUUUGGUCAAGUUCCUCUUUCCAGUGAAUUUGAUAUUGCUGCAUUCGUUGUGUUUGUGGGGGAGGUUUAUGUCGCUGGUCACCAGAAGAAACAGUGGGUGUUUGUGACAGAUGGCUCCAUUUCUGAAUCAAAGUCAGAAGAAUUAAACGAUUCUCUACUUGCCAUCUGCUUUUGUUCACCGCAUAUCGAUGAUCAAUCAGAUGUUCCUAUAAACUACAACCUCGCAGGUUCAACGGUCGGCUUUUGUAAUCUUAUCAAGAGAGCAAAGGACCAAAUGAAUGCUCUUUGGGUAGCUGAUGCUACAGAAAACUCGGCUUACUUUUUGAGUUUUGACUCUCCACAUUGUUCACAUCUCAAAGGUGCUGCUGCCUCUGCUGAAAGAUGGGGAAGAAUCUCUAGCUUGACCAUCAGUAGGCUUAAGGAGAGGGUUCUAUUUAUUAUUGGUAAAGGGUAGAUGGUGAAAGGAGCUGAUUUCAAAUGUUUUGUGUGUGCAGCAGUCUUGAUUUUGGAAACUAGAGUGCUGAGUGAACUCAAAAAUAAGAAUGCCGGUGUACAAUAUUCCAUUUGACUUGAGUUUCCACCUCAAUGCCAUCAUAGACAAGAAAUGAUUUUCGCCUAGCAUUCAAUUGAGAAAAGCUUCAACCGGGAAGUAGCAAAAGCAUGCAUGGUCAGAAGAAACUAGCUUCCACCUGAUGCCAUUUUUGAAUUGGUACUCAUACGUGGGCGUUUAUACUUCUGAAGGCAUUACAAAUUACUUAUUUAUAUCGCAGUCAAGCUAAGUAAUGCCUCCGUCUACUCGCUGAUGACCAUAGAUAUGCAAGCUUUUGUACCUCUUGUUAGGAAAAUCUGAUUUUUUGUGCUGCCCAGUAGAGAGAGGCUAACAUAUAUCAGGUUCAAACAAACAGAGGCUAACAUAGUAAUCCAUACUGUAUCCCACACUCAAGUUUCCCAUGUUUGUCAUAUAUCAUUAUAUCAUCUUUUGAGUUGGUAA